GAUGUGGUGCAAUGGUAGUGCAACUGCCUGCGACGUAGCAGGUUCCGGGUUCGAUUCCUGGUGGGUCA